GUUACAAGCCAUUUACUGCUGUGAACUGAUGUUUACAUGCCUGACUUAUCACAGAGCAUGCUUAACGGACAGGACACACAACUAGGUCCACUGGAAAAUGCACUUCAGGAAAUAAAUUUGAGAUUAGGGACUGAGGCCGUAAAAUAGAGGAGAGCCAUUAUAGUUUUAUUUAUUUACUUUCAAAGGAAGAGCAAGGGAACUGGAGGUGUUGCUAAGCAACAGGCCAAAUCCAAUGAGGCUGGAAACUGGAUUUGGACCAAUGAAAAGCAACAGAACGGAAAUACAUGCUGAAGGGAAAACUUCACACCUUUUAACUGGAAGAAAUCUCCUGAGAUAUACUGUUCCCUGUAAUAUACAUCAGGACUGGCAGUGUCUGUGGAGAAACAGAGUUAAUGCUUUAAGUCAAGUGUGACUCUCCUGCAGAACCUGUUGAGUUUCUUCAGCUUUCUCCAUGUUUGUUUCAGAAUUCCA